GACGAACGCUGGCGGCGUGCCUAAUACAUGCAAGUAGAACGCUGAAGGAGGAGCUUGCUUCUCUGGAUGAGUUGCGAACGGGUGAGUAACGCGUAGGUAACCUGCCUGGUAGCGGGGGAUAGCUAUUGGAAACGAUAGCUAAUACCGCAUAACAGUAGAUAUCGCAUGAUAUCUACUUGAAAGGUGCAAUUGCAUCACUACCAGAUGGACCUGCGUUGUAUUAGCUAGUUGGUGAGGUAACGGCUCACCAAGGCGACGAUACAUAGCCGACCUGAGAGGGUGCUCGGCCACACUGGGACUGAGACACGGCCCAGACUCCUACGGGAGGCAGCAGUAGGGAAUCUUCGGCAAAGGACGGAAGUCUGACCGAGCAACGCCGCGUGAGUGAAGAAGGUUUUCGGAUCGUAAAGCUCUGUUGUAAGAGAAGAACGAGUGUGAGAGUGGAAAGUUCACACUGUGACGGUAUCGUACCAGAAAGGGACGGCUAACUACGU
rnacentral:rRNA from 1 species